AUACGUAGGGGGCGAGCGUUGUCCGGAAUGAUUGGGCGUAAAGGGCGCGUAGGCGGCCCGGUAAGUCUGGAGUGAAAGUCCUGUUUUUAAGAUGGGAAUUGCUUUGGAUACUGUCGGGCUUGAGUGCAGGAGAGGUAAGUGGAAUUUCCAGUGUAGCGGUGAAAUGCGUAGAGAUUGGGAGGAACACCAGUGGCGAAGGCGACUUACAGGACUGUAACUGACGCUGAGGCGCGAAAGUGUGGGGAGCAAACAGGAUUAGAUACCCUGGUAGUCCACACUGUAAACGAUGAAUGCUAGGUGUAGGGGGUAUCGACCCCUUCUGUGCCGCAGUCAACACAAUAAGCAUUCCGCCUGGGGAGUACGGCCGCAAGGUUGAAACUUAAAGGAAUUGACGGGG
rnacentral:rRNA from 1 species